UGCUCCUAAGGGGCUGAAAUUUUUAUUAUAGAUAUAAGGGAGAAAACAGGUAGAGAUGGAGACAUCUUGGAGAGUCUAGAGUGAAGCUAGACUGAGCCGGGCCAUGGGAGGGGGAAGGAGGACAAGAGAGGAGCCAGACCAAGAGGGGCAGCCGGGGUCAAGAGCUGGGUGUAACCAAAUUUGGUGAUUUAUACAGGGGCAAGACUGUUGAGCUGGAGGCGGGAUGCCCAGACUAGGGUAGGGGGUGGGGUAUGCUAGCCAGGAGGACCUCAAACAGAUAGGGACUGAGGGAUGCUGGGAGAACCUGGCAGCCAGUGUCUGCUUUGAUAUGUUAAUAGGUAUCUCAGCCUAGUGAGUUUGAUUUGAAACCAAACUCACAGGAAGUGCAAAGAGGCAGAAAAAGCUCCUGAAUAACUAGAUGCUCAAGACAACCGAGACAGAGAGACCAUCAGCCACCGUCUUCGAAUAUUCAACAGCUCACACAGGAGUUCAGUAAACAGGUGUUUGCUAAGUGAUCAGACAAAUGAAGGGAGAACAAGUGAGGAGCAGAGGGGCACUUGCAGAUGGAUCCAUUACACACUGAAUGCCUGUUCCACACUGCAGCAGAUUCUAACUGUCCAAAGCCCCAGGCAUCUCCCAUUUGAGCCCGGAAGUUGGUAAUCUUAUUCAAAAGCAAGACAUGGGGUUGGGGAUUUAGCUCAGUGGUAGAGUGCUUGCCUAGCAAACGCAAGGCCCUGGGUUCGGUCCCCAGCUCUGAAAAAAAGAAAAAGGAAAAAAAAAAAAAAGCAAGACAUGCACCCCACCCAUAACUGAGACAACUGAGGAACAUGUGAGACCAGGUCCCAUGAUAAACUGAAAUGUUAUGACAGUCACUGAACACCAGACAUAGGCAGCAAAGAAAAAAAGUCUUGGUCUCGAAGAGUGAUCAGGAAAGUAGUCCUCAAAGACUUUUUGAUUUUGAGCUUCCCAAAGGAAGAUAGAAGGAAAGAAAACAGGAAAGUCACCACUGGUCUGGAAGCAUCCUGGAGUCCUGGUCCUGAAGCCUCAGAGAUUCUGAAGCAAAGGGACAUGGGUAACCACCCAGACCAUGAUCCCACAUGAGUAAUGUGCCAUCAGGACAGGGGUGAUACAGAGGACAACUGUAUACUGCCCUAGGUUCCACACAACAGUGAAUUCUGGAAUCCUGGUGCUACAGUCCUGAUCCCAAUCUCACUCUAACUAGGCCCCUGUCUUUUCAGGGUACAGCACAAGGUAAAAUAUUGAUAAGACUAAGUAACAUGCUUACCCACGACAUCUUCCAAUAAUAUCCUCGAGCCAGCAUUAGGGGUAGGAGGUGAAUACACCAAGCAAUCAAAUGAACCAAAGAGUCCAAGGAGAAGGCGGCCUUGGCCUCCCAGACUCCCACUCCCUUGCUGACAGAAUCAUCAUGGCUCAUGGAACUAGGUGGGACCAUUUGCUUGCCCACUACAACUGAGGAGAAGGAGCUGAAGGAGGUGGAGGAUCUUCCUCAGUGUUCCUUUCUUCCCCAUCCAGCCACACGAUACAACUUAAGUGUCUCGGAGGCCAGUUUCUUGGUUCCCAGAAUCCAGCAGCCUCCACUUCAGGAUUCUCACAUCUUCAACUCUUACAGGACCGGAUUCAUCUACCCCUCCUCCACAGAUACUCAGGUACAUCCUGGGGUGGCUUUCUCCUUCUGUCCCAGCACUUACAAUACCCAGCUCCCUUCCGCAGCAAACAAUAUGGUAGAACUAAACAACACGGACUGAGAGUCACAAUGACUCAGUCCACAUCCUUUGCUGAACACUGAGUAUUGGACAUACAACAGGUACAACAAAUUACCACAAACCUGUUGCUUAGAACAAGAAUUGUGGCAAUGGGUGCUUCGAAUACCAGCAUUAGGGGUGCAGGUGGGGGGUAUGAGUUUGAGAUCAACAAGACCCUAUGGCAAAACAAGAAGAAGCCAACUAGGAUGGUACGCACUCCCAGAAGCUGGGGGGUAGAAGCAGGGGAAUCAGAAGUUCAAGGUCACCCUGGGCCACAGAGAAGUCAAGGCCAGCCUAGGCUAUAGGAGACUGUAACAAAAACAAACAAUAAAAACAAACAAAAAAAACAACAUUGUGUGGUUGCACAACGUUACAUUAGAUUUAAAGGCCACUGAACUGCCCAGUGGGAAAUGGUUAAAAAAAAAA
ensembl:lncRNA